rnacentral:rRNA from 1 species
GACAGAGGUGCCGAGCGUUGUCCGGAAUUAUUGGGCGUAAAGAGCUCGUAGGCGGUUUGUCGCGUCUGCUGUGAAAACUCGGGGCUUAACUCCGGGCCUGCAGUGGGUACGGGCAGACUAGAGUGCGGUAGGGGAGACUGGAAUUCCUGGUGUAGCGGUGAAAUGCGCAGAUAUCAGGAGGAACACCGGUGGCGAAGGCGGGUCUCUGGGCCGUAACUGACGCUGAGGAGCGAAAGCGUGGGGAGCGAACAGG